rnacentral:rRNA from 1 species
GGAAUCUUGGACAAUGGGGGCAACCCUGAUCCAGCGACGCCGCGUGACCGAUGAAGCCUUUCGGGGUGUAAAGGUCUUUCAGCGGGGACUAUCAUGAAGGUACCCGCAGAAGCAGCUGCGGCUAACUACGUGCCAGCAGCCGCGGUAAUACGUAGGCAGCAAGCGUUGUUCGGAAUUACUGGGCGUAAAGCGAGUGUAGGCGGUUUGCCAAGUCCGUUGUGAAAUCUCCCGGCUCAACUGGGAGGGUGCGACGGAAACUGGCAGGCUGGAGUGCGGGAGAGGAGAGUGGAAUUCCUGGUGUAGCGGUGAAAUGCGUAGAUAUCUGGAGGAACACCGGUGGCGAAGGCGGCAUCCUGGACCGGCAUUGACGCUGAGGCGCGAAAGCCAGGGGAGCAAAC